UACGAAGGGGGCUAGCGUUGUUCGGAAUCACUGGGCGUAAAGCGCACGUAGGCGGCUUUGUAAGUUAGAGGUGAAAGCCCGGGGCUCAACUCCGGAAUUGCCUUUAAGACUGCAUCGCUCGAAUUGUGGAGAGGUAAGUGGAAUUCCGAGUGUAGAGGUGAAAUUCGUAGAUAUUCGGAAGAACACCAGUGGCGAAGGCGACUUACUGGACACAUAUUGACGCUGAGGUGCGAAAGCGUGGGGAGCAAACAGG
rnacentral:rRNA from 1 species